rnacentral:rRNA from 7 species
UAAACGACUCUCGGCAACGGAUAUCUCGGCUCACGCAUCGAUGAAGAACGUAGCAAAAUGCGAUACUUGGUGUGAAUUGCAGAAUCCCGUGAACCAUCGAGUUUUUGAACGCAAGUUGCGCCCGAAGCCUUUUGGUUGAGGGCACGUCUGCCUGGGCGUCACAC